rnacentral:rRNA from 1 species
CGCGUAGGAAUCUACCUAGUAGUGGGGGACAACUCGGGGAAACUCGAGCUAAUACCGCAUACGCCCUACGGGGGAAAGGCGGGGGACCGUUCGGGCCGUCGUGCUAUUAGAUGAGCCUGCGUUGGAUUAGCUAGUUGGUGGGGUAAAGGCCUACCAAGGCGACGAUCCAUAGCUGGUCUGAGAGGAUGAUCAGCCACACCGGGACUGAGACACGGCCCGGACUCCUACGGGAGGCAGCAGUGGGGAAUAUUGCGCAAUGGGCGAAAGCCUGACGCAGCCAUGCCGCGUGUGUGAAGAAGG